UUCAGAAUCUUGCCCAAUGGACGAAAGUCUGAGGCAGCCAUACCGCGUGUGCGAAGAAGGCCUUCGGGUCGUAAAGCACUGUCAGAGGGAAAGAUUAUGACGGUACCCUCAAAGGAAGCCACGGCUAACUACGUGCCAGCAGCCGCGGUAAUACGUAGGUGGCGAACGUUAUCCGGCAUCACUGGGCGUAACGCGUUCGUAGGCGGCAAGGUAAGCCAGAUUUGAAAGACCGGGGCUCAACUCCGGGACCGGAUCUGGAACUACCCUGCUUGAGCAGAUCAGAGGGCAGUGGAAUUCCCGGUGUAGUGGUAAAAUACGUAGAGAUCGGGAGGAACACCAGCGGCGCAGGCGGCUCACUAGACAGUUUCUGACGCUAAGAUACGAAAGCGUGGGGAGCAAACA
rnacentral:rRNA from 1 species